rnacentral:rRNA from 1 species
UACGUAGGCAGCGAGCGUUGUUCGGAAUUACUGGGCGUAAAGAGUGUGUAGGCGGUGCUCUAAGUUCGGUGUGAAAUCUCCCGGCUUAACUGGGAGGGUGCGCCGGAAACUGGAGUGCUCGAGCGUGGGAGAGGAAAGCAGAAUUCCUGGUGUAGCGGUGAAAUGCGUAGAUAUCAGGAGGAACACCUGCGGUGUAGACGGCUUUCUGGACCAUUGCUGACGCUGAGACACGAAAGCGUGGGUAGCAAACAGG